GCCGGGAUAGCUCAGUCGGUAGAGCAGAGGACUGAAAAUCCUCG
rnacentral:tRNA from 1 species